UUUUUGAUUUUUCCCGGUGGAAAUUAAGCAUAUCAAUAAGCGGAGGAAAAGAAACUAACAAGGAUUCCCCUAGUAACUGCGAGUGAAGCGGGAAAAGCUCAAAUUUAAAAUCUGGUGGUCUUUGGCCAUCCGAGUUGUAAUUUAGAGAAGCGUCUUCCGCGCUGGACCAUGCACAAGUCUCCUGGAAUGGAGCGUCAUAGAGGGUGAGAAUCCCGUCUUUGGCAUGGACCCCAGGGCUUCUGUGAUGCGCUCUCGAAGAGUCGAGUUGUUUGGGAAUGCAGCUCAAAAUGGGUGGUGAACUCCAUCUAAAGCUAAAUAUUGGCGAGAGACCGAUAGCGAACAAGUACCGUGAGGGAAAGAUGAAAAGCACUUUGGAAAGAGAGUGAAACAGUACGUGAAAUUGUUGAAAGGGAAACGCUUGAAGUCAGUCGCGUCGACCGAGACUCAGCCUCGCCUUGGCUUGGUGUACUUCUCGGCUUGACGGGUCAGCAUCAAUUUCGAUCCUUGGAUAAUGGCAAGGGAAAGGUGGCACCUUUACAGGUGUGUUAUAGUCCUCUGUCGGAUGCAAGGGUUGGGAUUGAGGAACUCAGCACGCACCCUCGUCGGUGUCGGGGCCUCGGCCUACGUUACGUGCUUAGGAUGCUGGCAUAAUGGCUUUAAACGACCCGUCUUGAAACACGGACCAAGGAGUCUAACAUGCACGCGAGUGUUCGGGUGGAAAACCCGUGCGCGCAAUGAAAGUAAAAGUUGGGACCUCUGUCGUGGAGGGCACCGACGCCCGGACCAGACCUUCUGUGACGGCCCUGCGGUAGAGCGUGUAUGUUGGGACCCGAAAGAUGGUGAACUAUGCCUGAAUAGGGUGAAGCCAGAGGAAACUCUGGUGGAGGCUCGUAGCGAUUCUGACGUGCAAAUCGAUCGUCAAAUUUGGGUAUAGGGGCGAAAGACUAAUCGAACCAUCUAGUAGCUGGUUCCUGCCGAAGUUCCCCUCAGGAAAGUUAAAAA
rnacentral:rRNA from 1 species